GUAGGACAGGUCGCGAGAGAUAAGCUGAGAGCGGUUCACACACAAUCUCUCGUGGGACCAAUUUAGAGGAUAGGAUCAUUCUGUGCGUCUCGUUUGUGAGAUCAUAGGGAUGCCAUCCCUACACGUAGUCGAUCACACAGUCAUGGUUAUCCUGUACUAACAGUUACGUGGCACUACAAGACGAUACGUGGCACUACAAGACGAGGGAUGACUCCUCUAUAUAUAUUCCAGAGCAUGAGAGAUUAUGGAUACUCCUUUCUCAAGAAAAACCCUAAGUAUUAACCUCCUUUUUCUCCUUAAACACUUAAAUUUCAGCACUUAAUU
rnacentral:lncRNA from 1 species